GAUGAACGCUAGCGGCAGGCCUAACACAUGCAAGUCGAGGGGUAGCAGGAUUAAGCUUGCUUAAUUGCUGACGACCGGCGCACGGGUGCGUAACGCGUAUGCAACCUACCUUAUACUGGGGUAUAGCCCGGAGAAAUUCGGAUUAAUCCCCCAUAGUACUAAUGAAUCGCAUGGUUUAUUAGUUAAAGCAUUGCGGUAUAAGAUGGGCAUGCGUCCUAUUAGCUAGAUGGUGAGGUAACGGCUCACCAUGGCUACGAUAGGUAGGGGGCCUGAGAGGGUGGUCCCCCACACGGGAACUGAGACACGGACCAGACUCCUACGGGAGGCAGCAGUGAGGAAUAUUGGUCAAUGGGCGCAAGCCUGAACCAGCCAUGCCGCGUGCAGGAAGAAUGCCCUAUGGGUUGUAAACUGCUUUUAUUUGGGAAUAAACCUCUUUACGUGUAGAGAGUUGAAGGUACCAAAUGAAUAAGCACCGGCUAACUCCGUGCCAGCCGCCGCAGUAA
rnacentral:rRNA from 1 species